rnacentral:piRNA from 1 species
UAGUAGGGCUAGCUAGGCACAGAGU